UACGAAGGGGGCUAGCGUUGCUCGGAAUCACUGGGCGUAAAGCGCACGUAGGCGGAUUGCUAAGUCAGGCGUGAAAGCCCCGGGCUCAACCUGGGAGGUGCGCUUGGGACUGGCGGGCUGGAGUUCGGGAGAGGAGCGUGGAAUUCCCAGUGUAGAGGUGAAAUUCGUAGAUAUUGGGAAGAACACCGGUGGCGAAGGCGGCGCUCUGGACCGAGACUGACGCUGAGGCGCGAAGGCGUGGGGAGCAAACAGG
rnacentral:rRNA from 1 species